rnacentral:rRNA from 1 species
AACGCGAAGAACCUUACCAAAUCUUGACAUCCCACUGACAAAGUAUGUAAUGUACUCUUCCUUCGGGACAGUGGUGACAGGUGGUGCAUGGUUGUCGUCAGCUCGUGUCGUGAGAUGUUGGGUUAAGUCCCGCAACGAGCGCAACCCUUAUCUUUAGUAGCCAGCAUUACGGAUGGGCACUCUAGAGAGACUGCCCGGGUGAACCGGGAGGAAGGUGGGGAUGACGUCAAAUCAUCAUGCCCCUUAUGAUUUGGGCUACACACGUGCUACAAUGGCGUAAACAAAGGGAAGCAAUUGGGUGACCAUGAGCAAAUCUCAAAAAUAACGUCUCAGUUCGGAUUGUAGUCUGCAACUCGACUACAUGAAGCUGGAAUCGCUAGUAAUCGCUGGUCAGCAUGCAGCGGUGAAUACGUUCCCGGGUCUUGUACACACCG